CUGAGAAAAAAAAAAUCUUGAAAAAGUUCAAGGACCACUGAGGGGGAGAAGAGCAUAGCCUGACCUUCAGUUGUUGCUUGCUCAUCCUUCAGUCACGUCUGACUCUUUGUGACCCUAUGGACUGUAGCCCGCCAGGGUCUUCCUUGGUCAGAGGGAUUUUUCAGCCUGGAAGGCAGAUAUGGAAUUGAACCAGCCUCAGUUCUCCUAAGACUAUGCCCAGGAUAUGGUGGACCAAAAAGAUGGAAAGAUUCUGGGUCCCUGAAUUAUCUGAUGGAGCAGAGAUACCCCAUCCGUCUUGAAUGACUCAUCUUCGGGCCAUGUGUUGAGAUUGCAGGAGGCUGCCUGGAGUGCUGUGUUGACAAGGAUGUGAGACCACAUCAGUGCUCACUGGAAAUGAAGGCCAUAAUCAUCUACGUCUUCCACAGGCACAGGAGGGGGAGUUCCCUGCAAUGGUGGGGAUUGCUGGAUUCCUAAGUCCUCUUCCCUUCUAACUUUACAGAAUUUUGCCUACCUAUCCUAAGUUAGCAUAUAAGAGUCUUUCCCCCUGUCUGUUCUAUACCACACACACCACUUGACAUAUCAAGUGUUUUAUCAAGUAGAACACAGGGUCCUCGCCUGAUAUCUCUCUCUGACUGGUCUUCUCCUCACCCACUUUCUCAUCUUCUGAGCCUCACCCUCAAGUCUGGAGUCUCUAGACUUAUGAGAGACGCCUAGGCUUCUCAGGCUUCUGAGUCAUUGUUUAACUUCCCUCUCACCUGACUCAGUGCUUAGGAAUCGCCGUGUUAAGAUGACAUGGUUCAGCCAGGUCCUUGCAGGAAGCAUUUGAAGGACAUUGGUAGCUAACAGGCAUAGUCCUCUGAGGGUGAUUCUGCCUCGUCUGGCUCAAUCAGUCUAAUAACUUGUGUAGCCCCCAGGAGGAUUCUGAUCUUCUGGGAAUCCAAUCACUAACAUAGCUUAGAAAAUAACUCAGAUAUAGAGAAUCCAUAUCUGCUUUCCCAUCCCCAAUCCCAAAUCGUUUCCAGGGAGUCGUGUUAUUUUGACCGUUUUCAAAAGUCACUGAAAAAUAGAGAAACAAUGUACGGGCAAAGGUUCAGUUGAAGAAAAUUGAAUCUACCCUGGGCAAUAGAAUCCACCUAGUUUAACUAGAGCAUGGCUUUCACAGGAUAAACCCCUUCCGACACUCCUGUUCCUAGGUCUAUAUAUCCCUUCUUCUUUAUUGGGCACAGCAAACCAUGGUCUGCUUUUGUAAAGAAAGCCACCAUUUGUUUUUGUAAAUAAAGU
ensembl:lncRNA